rnacentral:misc_RNA from 1 species
UAGUCGUAACAAGGUAGCCGUAUCGGAAGGUGCGGCUGGAUCACCUCCUUUAGAGACAAAAAGACAGUUAAUUGCCUGUCCAGACGUCCGCACAAGUGACCUGCAUUUCAGAGUUCCCGAUCGCCUUGGGGUGAUCGAGGAGUCGUCCCGUUUCGAUGGGGCUUUAGCUCAGCUGGGAGAGCACCUGCUUUGCAAGCAGGGGGUCGUCGGUUCGAUCCCGACAAGCUCCACCACCUAGCCAGUAAGUAGUCCUUAGGGACGAAUUGGGUCUGUAGCUCAGGUGGUUAGAGCGCACCCCUGAUAAGGGUGAGGCCGGUGGUUCGAGUCCUCCCAGACCCACCACCCUGGCGAAAGCUGGAGCGAGACAAAACUCUGAACUGCGCACACAUAAAGAUUUGAAACUUCGAAGGCGCUGAAGCCUUUGAAGUGUUCUUUGAAAAACUGGAAUGUAGCGAGCGUUUUGAGACGGAAUGUCCAAACGUGUCGUGAGGCUAAGGCGGGGCCCAAGAGGCCCUAACAUUUGAAGUUGUUGAUUUGUUCGUAAAUCGAUAAUCCUGAGGCAACUUGGGGUUAUAUGG